GGGCUAUAGAAUGAUGUCAAGGGCUGGAGAGGGAGGCUACAGAGUGGGUCUAGGUCCAGGUACAGUCUCAGAACCACACUGCAAAACUGGCUUAGUCAGGUAGCUGCUGUAUCUGCUGCUUCCACUGUGAACUCAAAAACCACAUUGCCUGUGCUGCAGGCCGGAAAGCUGCUGAACCAGGAAGCUGUGCUGAUGCUGCUGACUGCCCCUGAGGUUAGAGAUUGACUAGACAUAGUGCCACUGUCAUCCCUGCUGGAGAAGGUCCGAAGCACCUCCACCUCUGUGCUUCCAGAGGGGCACUGUGGUGGCCACUUAAAAUGCUCAGGCUAUACCAUGCACUAGAGCAUCUACCUGGGCAAGGGAUAUGCUGUAUGACACUCUCCUGAUGCUGGGCAUGGCUGUGAGCCAAAGCACCCAGGCAGCCCUGCCAUCAGAAGGGUAAACCACGGACACCUGAUGCCUUCCUGAAGGAAGAGCACUACGCCUGCCAAACCAUCAAGCGUUGAUGCUCCAGCGCCUUCUACCCGUGGUUCUCCAGCCUCAGCAGAAGAGAGAGAAAUUGAUGACCCUGUCGUUGUAGCAUCCCCAUCACCCAGCAAUUAAUUUUAGUUCAAUGCUUCAAACGCUCUUCAGGCGCAGUGUGCGUUCAGCUGUGUCAGCUAAUGCAAAUGGGGGAUCUCAGAAGUCUUAAUGAAGUAACUAUCCCUGAACACUGGGAUCAAUACUCAGCAUCCAGCUGUCAAAUCAACACCAAGCCGCCUCCUGGAGCAGAUUGUUAAGCUGAUGCGAGUCUGGGCUCUGCCUCACCACUUGUCUCAGAGACAGAGUCUUGCUCUGUCACCUAGGCUGGAGUGCAGUGGUGCCAUCACAGCUCACUGCAGCCUCGACCUCCCCGUGCUCAAGUGAUCCUCACACCUCAGCCUCCCGAGUAGCCGCGAUCACAAGUUAAACAAACACAGUUCUUUACAUCAAUGCUUCCGUCCCUGGCCAUCUGGUCUCCUGUCCCCUCCAGACCCAAAACCAUGGGCUGGGCUGCAGCAAAAUGAGGGUGUACUCAGUGCACUGAGGCCCAUGUACCAUGAGAGAUGGUGAGAGAAAGCCUUGGCCGGAGUUUAAGGAUUUGGGGCUGGGCACAGUGGCUCGUGCCUGUAAUCCUAGCACUUUGGGAGGCCAAGGCAGGAGGAUCACUUGAGGCCAAGAGUUUGAGACCAGCCUGAGCAACAUAGUGAGACUCUCAUUUCUAAAAAUAAAAAAGUUAGGCCUGGCACAGUGGCUCAUGCCUAUAAUCCCAGCAGUUUGGGAAGCUGAAUCAAGAGGAUCACUUGAGGCCAGGAGUUUGAGCCCAGCCUGGUCAACAUAGUGAGACUUUAUCACUACAAAAAGUUUUUAUUUAUUUAUUUUUUUUGAGACAGGGUCUCGAUUCAUCACUUAGGCUGGAGUGGAGUGUGCAAUCACAGCUCACAGCUCACAGCAGCCUCGACCUCCUGGGUUCAAGCCAUCCUCCCACCUCAGCCUCCUGAGUAGCUGGGACUACAGGCAUACACCACCAUGUCUGGCUAAAUUUUUGUACUUUUUGUAGAGACAGGGUUUCGCCAUGUUGCCCAGGCUGGUCUCUAGCUCCUGGGCUCAAGCAAUCUGCCUGCCUCAGCCUCCCAGAGGCCUGGAACUACAGGCGUGAGCCGCUGCUCUUGGCCAUUUUUAAUUUAAGAGACAGAGUCUCGCUUUGUUACCCAGGCUGGAGUGCAGUACCCUUACUGCAGCCUUGAACUACUGGGCUCAAGCCAUCCUCCCACCUCAGCCUCUCAAGUAGCUGGGACUACAGGUGUGUGUCCCCAUGCCCAGCUGACUGAGCUACCACCAUGCCACUGCAUGCCAGUUGUGACAAAGUGAGACCCUGUCUCUAAAAAAUAAUUAAAUAAAAUGUUUAAUGGUGUUCUGGGUCCUUACUUCAUGGACACUUUCCACUAUGCAGCCUGCCACUGAUUUCAUGUAAAGGCAAAACCAAAAGAGAUCCUUUGCUAAAUUA
rnacentral:lncRNA from 10 species